rnacentral:rRNA from 1 species
CUCGAGUGGCGAACGGGUGAGUAACACGUGGGUGAUCUGCCCUGCACUUCGGGAUAAGCUUGGGAAACUGGGUCUAAUACCGGAUAGGAACCAUCUUUAGUGUGGUGGUUGGAAAGUUUUUUCGGUGUAGGAUGAGCUCGCGGCCUAUCAGCUUGUUGGUGGGGUAAUGGCCUACCAAGGCGGCGACGGGUAGCCGGCCUGAGAGGGUGUACGGCCACAUUGGGACUGAGAUACGGCCCAGACUCCUACGGGAGGCAGCAGUGGGGAAUAUUGCACAAUGGGCGCAAGCCUGAUGCAGCGACGCCGCGUGGGGGAUGAAGGCCUUCGGGUUGUAAACUCCUUUCGCUAGGGACGAAGCUUUUUGCGACGGUACCUAGAUAAGAAGCACCGGCUAACUACGUGCCAGCAGCCGCGGUAAUACGUAGGGUGCGAGCGUUGUCCGGAAUUACUGGGCGUAAAGGGCUCGUAGGUGGUUUGUCGCGUCGUCUGUGAAAUUCUGGGGCUUAACUCCGGGCGUGCAGGCGAUACGGGCAUAACUUGAGUGCUGUAGGGGUAACUGGAAUUCCUGGUGUAGCGGUGAAAUGCGCAGAUAUCAGGAGGAACACCGAUGGCGAAGGCAGGUUACUGGGCAGUUACUGACGCUGAGGAGCGAAAGCAUGGGUAGCGAACAGGAUU